CCUUGGCAUAUUCAUUUAUUGAAUACUUAUUUUGCUAACGUCUAACGUCUUAUGAGGUCUUAUCCAAUGGGUAUCCAAGGUCCUUGUCAAACCCAAGAAAACCAUUUCCUCUCAUUCAGAUGACAUCAAUAUGGUGGUCCAUCAUUCCAAGAUAGUCGACACUCCAUAAGCACAUGUCACUUGAUGAAGCUCGUGAGAGGAGCAUGUGGAGUCCAGCUUCAGUGUCUGCACACCACAGAAUGAGGAUG
rnacentral:lncRNA from 1 species